GACGAACGCUGGCGGCGUGCUUAACACAUGCAAGUCGAGCGGGUGCCUGCUUGGUGGCAACACCUUGUAGGUGCUAGCGGCGAACGGGUGAGUAACACGUGAGGAACCUGCCCUGAAGACGGGGAUAACAGCCGGAAACGGCUGCUAAUACCCGAUGCCUCUGCUGAGUCGCAUGGCUCGGCAAAGAAAUGGAUUCCGCUUCAGGAGGGCCUCGCGGCCUAUCAGCUUGUUGGUGAGGUAACGGCUCACCAAGGCGUCGACGGGUAGCUGGUCUGAGAGGACGACCAGCCACACUGGGACUGAGACACGGCCCAGACUCCUACGGGAGGCAGCAGUGGGGAAUCUUGCGCAAUGGGCGAAAGCCUGACGCAGCAACGCCGCGUGGGGGACGAAGGCUCUCGGGUUGUAAACCCCUUUCAGCAGGAACGAAAUUGACGGUACCUGCAGAAGAAGCCCCGGCCAACUACGUGCCAGCAGCCGCGGUAA
rnacentral:rRNA from 1 species